rnacentral:rRNA from 1 species
GACGAACGCUGGCGGCGUGGAUUAGGCAUGCAAGUCGAACGGUAUCAUCCUUUCGGGAGUGAGAGAGUGGCGAACUAGUGAGUAACACGUAGGUUAUCUACCCUCAAGACGGGGACAACCCAGGGAAACUUGGGCUAAUACCGGAUGUGAGCAACUUUUAGUUGUUUGAAAGGUGGCGUAAGCUGUCGCUUGGGGAUGAGCCUGCGUCCUAUUAGUUAGUUGGUGAGGUAACGGCUCACCUAGGCAAUGAUAGGUAGGCGGCCUUAACGGGUGGUCGCCCACACUGGGAUUGAGAUACGGCCCAGACUCCUACGGGAGGCAGCAGUCGAGAAUAGUCUACAAUGGUCGGAAGACUGAUAGUGCGACGCCGCGUGAACGAUGAAUCCCUUCGGGGUGUAAAGUUCUUUUAUAUGUGAGCAGUGCUUCUUAUAUUAACAGUAUGGGGAGAGAGAUAUUAGCAUAUGAAUAAGCAACGGCUAACUCCAUGCCAGCAGCCGA